CCGCCCGUCACAUCAUGAAAGCCGGUCGUACCCGAAGUCAAUGCGCUAACCGCAAGGAAGCAGUUGCCGAAGGUAUGGCUGGUGAUUGGGAUG
rnacentral:rRNA from 1 species